rnacentral:rRNA from 1 species
UGGGGAAUAUUGGACAAUGGGCGAAAGCCUGAUCCAGCCAUGCCGCGUGUGUGAAGAAGGUCUUCGGAUUGUAAAGCACUUUAAGUUGGGAGGAAGGGCAUUAACCUAAUACGUUAGUGUUUUGACGUUACCGACAGAAUAAGCACCGGCUAACUCUGUGCCAGCAGCCGCGGUAAUACAGGGGGUGCAAGCGUUAAGCGGAAUUACUGGGCGUAAAGCGCGCGUAGGUGGUUUGUUAAGUUGGAUGUGAAAUCCCCGGGCUCAACCUGGGAACUGCAUUCAAAACUGACUGACUAGAGUAUGGUAGAGGGUGGUGGAAUUUCCUGUGUAGCGGUGAAAUGCGUAGAUAUAGGAAGGAACACCAGUGGCGAAGGCGACCACCUGGACUAAUACUGACACUGAGGUGCGAAAGCGUGGGGAGCAAACA